AUUGAACGCUGGCGGCAGGCCUAACACAUGCAAGUCGAGCGGCUGACGGGAGCUUGCUCCUUGAUUCAGCGGCGGACGGGUGAGUAAUGCCUAGGAAUCUGCCCGGUAGUGGGGGACAACGUUUCGAAAGGAACGCUAAUACCGCAUACGUCCUACGGGAGAAAGCAGGGGACCUUCGGGCCUUGCGCUAUCAGAUGAGCCUAGGUCGGAUUAGCUAGUUGGUGGGGUAAGGGCUCACCAAGGCGACGAUCCGUAACUGGUCUGAGAGGAUGAUCAGGCACACUGUAACUGAGACACUGUCCAGACUCCUACGGGAGGCAGCAGUGGGGAAUAUUGGACAAUGGGCGAAAGCCUGAUCCAGCCAUGCCGCGUGUGUGAAGAAUGUCUUCGGAUUGUAAAGCACUUUAAGUUGGGAGGAAGGGCAGUAAGCUAAUACCUUGCUGUUUUGACGUUACCGACAGAAUAAGCACCGGCUAACUCUGUGCCAGCCGCCGCCGUAAAAC
rnacentral:rRNA from 1 species